rnacentral:rRNA from 1 species
UACGUAGGGGGCUAGCGUUGUCCGGAAUCAUUGGGCGUAAAGCGCGUGUAGGCGGUUCGGUAAGUCCGCUGUGAAAGUCGGGGGCUCAACCCUCGGAAGCCGGUGGAUACUGUCGAGCUAGAGUACGGAAGAGGCGAGUGGAAUUCCUGGUGUAGCGGUGAAAUGCGCAGAUAUCAGGAGGAACACCGAUGGCGAAGGCAGCUCGCUGGGACGGUACUGACGCUGAGGCGCGAAAGCGUGGGGAGCGAACAGG